AAUAGGAGCAUACUUACUAAAUAUAUUUUAACAGCAUAUAUAAUUUGAAUUCCAAUUAAAUUAGAUAUUUACUUAUGAAAUUUUCAGAUUUACCAGAGCUCUUUAAACUCUCUCAAACCCCUCGAUUACUCACAACCCCAAUCUUCAUCAUUUCUUGACCUCUGGCGAUCUAGACGGCUGGAGAGAAUCUUUGUCCUUCUGGAUAAACGAAACAAAAUAUUUUCGUGCCCGCAUGCGACACAACACUUAUAGGGGCUACAUCUCGAAUGUUUGACAAGUUACACAAUCUUCACCAGCAAGGGUUCUACUAUUUCGACCAUGAGAUAUUGGAGAUGGCUUGGGAUGCCAAACGACUACUCGAGGGGAGGAGGUAGGGGCCUCGGAGCAGAGCAGGGCCAUCGUGGAGAGGGAAGAACCAACAAGGGCAGAGAGACCACAACCGACUGGCGCCUCAAAUGAAGAGGUGAACAUGGGUCCCACAUAUGGGGCAAAAAAAUAUGUGGUGGAGGGUUUUGAAGCUAAGAAGCUCCCCAGCAAGCUGAAACAUUGGGGAGCCCUCAAUAGAGUACUCGCCUUCUACGGAGUUGAGGAUCGGGACAUCUUGACGUGAAUGUCCCGAGAGAACGAAAGGGUGCAUGAGAGCAUCCACGACCUCGGGGCUUGGAGUGUGUCUCACCUCUAGGCCAGAGCAUCCCUGCCCCCACCAAUAUUAUGUCGACUUCCUAAAGACCGUCGGCAUAGCUCUGUUCCAGCUACCCCUAAAUGGGUAUCAAGUGCUAGUCAGGCUAUACAUUAUGUAUAAGAGGCUGAAAUCUUGUACGUCUACAACUUUUGGGCCAUUAAGAAGGGGUAGCUCGAUCGGUACUAUACUUUGAUGAAGUAUACGUACCCGAGGAUGUCUUACAAGGCUCUAUGCAUGAACGAGAGCCACACGCGAGAUUACAAAGACCACUUCAUUUGGACAAGUGGCUUUCCCACACGGACCAACCCCACUCUGCUCCUGGACUUCGCCAGGGUUGGAAAAUAGCUUUAGAGGCGGUAAGAUUCGUGACGCUUAGAGGAUGUGUAUCGAUGGUGAAUGGAGUCAAGGGGCCGAGCGUUAUUCGAUUCGAGGAUGUAGUCUCAUUUUACUUUUUUUAUGGUUUUACAUGUAUUUUCCGCAUUUUCUAUGUAACUCUUUUCACUUUAAGUUAUUUUUGUUUUAAAGACAAUGGGUACCCAUAUCCUACUUAAUUUUAUGAAAGUAACCUUUGUUUCUACAAGUUUAUAAUAAAUUAUGGUAUUUUCGCAAAUGUAUGUUUUAGUAAGAAUUUGUAUGUAUAGUUCGAUAAUGGUCCAAGAGUCUAGAUUAGUGGGUCAUUACAGUUGUCCUCUGCAUGUAGUUUAACACUUACAAAAUUCCUUUUGCAGGUCCCUACAACCGUAACCCGUUCGUCGUGGCCUAUGAUGAACGACUUCAGCGGAUAAAGGAUCUUCCUCCGGGUGGACUAGCACCUGGGUUCGGUGGACCUCUCCCUUUUCAGAAACUCCAAGACUCCCUGGCGGAGGCCCAUCUCCACACGGAGUACAUGGCUGAGCAGACCCUCCUCCAGUUUACUCAAGGGAUGCGAGAGGAACACGUGGAAAUCGUGCUCGCUAUUCAGGGCGCUGCCGAGGCUCUGGAGGACCAGGAUCUUGAGGAGGAGCUCCAGGCGGGGAUAGAAUCCUCGUCUAUAGACCAAGAUCUCGAGACGUACUUGGACUGAGGAGGAGUUCCAAGACUACCAAGACUUUAUUGACGCUUUCCUCCACCACCCGAAGAGAAGGGUCGACCCCCAGGGGUUUGUGCCAUUGGACGAGGUUACGUCCAUGCACGCAAGGUGGUUCUGCCACUACGAGAUGAACACCACCCAAGAGAUGGGCAGACUAGUGCCACAUGGGCUUGUCUGAUUCUAUGUGGGCCAAACGCUAGAGGGUAUCAGGACCCUCUCAAAUCAAAAUUUCGACCACAUUAGCCAUGGUGCCUCCAUCCUCGAGAGUUCCUGCGACUUCGAUAGCUGUUCCGCUGUCGUCCCCCCGAGGUCAGUGAUGACUGGUGUAACGACCCAAAAUCACUAAUAAGGCUUAAGAGCCUUGAUUAGUGUGUCGGGAGGGCAUAAUUGGUUUAUGUGUGAAUUUAUUAAGUUUAAUGCGUGAUUAUAUGAUAAGCAUGCUAGUAUGUUUAUAUGAAUAUAAAUGUGACUAUAUGCUAUAAUUGUGAGAACCACAUUAUUAUGUGGGUAAAUCUGCAGCAUGCGACUUGAGGCGAUCCUAGGGAGCUAGUUAGCGGGAAAGUCACAACGAGGCUUAAUAUUUGACUUUGGGCAAGUCAAGGGGUAUUUUAGGUAUUGGAUGAUUAUUUAGGUUAUCGGGUUAUGGAAAUAAGUAAUUGGAGAUAUAUUUGAGGUUAGGAA